rnacentral:lncRNA from 1 species
CGCAGCAGGCUAACAUCUAAAUAGAUCGAUCUUAGACUUCGAUGGCAAAUAAACUUUCAGACUCCAUCGAUCCUUAUCCCAGUGAAUGCAACUAACCCCAACUACUUUCAUUUGGUGCCUACAUGCAUCGGACUACUUUGAAGCCUCCUUAACCGAAGCCAGUUCGAUCCUAUUUAUGCUCUCAUUUCAAAUUUAAAAGUACCUUCGGCACCAUAGCGGGCUCCGA